GGUAACUGGUGUGGUGGAGCCGGGGUAAUAGCGAGGUGUCAGUGGUUAAGCGGGUUUUAGUGGCUGAAAGCGCGGGUAGUGGGCUAAUUAAGAGAAAGGGUAAAUCCCCGAGCGUAACGUGGGAAUGUCAGUCGAUACUGGUUGGCUAGAGUAUGGGAGAGGAUGGUAGAAGUCCAGGUGGAGCGGUGAAAUGCGUAGAGAUCUGGAUGAAUACCGAUGGCGAAGGCAGCCAUCUGGCCUAAUACUGACACUGAGGUGCGAAAGCAUGGGGAGCAAACAGGAUUAGAUACCCUAGUAGUC
rnacentral:rRNA from 1 species